UAGAGUUUGAUCCUGGCUCAGGAUGAACGCUAGCGGCAGGCUUAAUACAUGCAAGUCGUGGGGCAGCAUGACUAGCAAUACUUGAUGGCGACCGGCAAACGGGUGAGGAACACGUACACAACCUUCCUUCAAGCGGGGAAUAGCCCAGAGAAAUUUGGAUUAAUACCCCAUAAUAUAUUUGAUAAGGCAUCUUAUUAAUAUUAAAGCUUCGGCACUUGAUGAUGGGUGUGCGGCUGAUUAGAUAGUUGGCGGGGUAACGGCCCACCAAGUCUACGAUCAGUAGCUGAUGUGAGAGCAUGAUCAGCCACACGGGCACUGAGACACGGGCCCGACUCCUACGGGAGGCAGCAGUAAGGAAUAUUGGACUAUGGACGAAAGUCUGAUCCAGCCAUGCCGCGUGAAGGAUUAAGGUCCUCUGGAUUGUAAACUUCUUUUAUAUGGGACGAAAAAAGGGCAUUCUUGUUCACUUGACGGUACCAUAUGAAUAAGCACCGGCUAACUCCGUGCCAGCAGCCGCGGUAAUA
rnacentral:rRNA from 1 species